AAAACCCUGCUAUGUUCGUGAUCAACCGCAAAAGUUUUGAGCUAACAUCAAUUAAGAAGGGAGCCCGGACUUUAACUGUGGAAUAUAGGCCUCCGUUUGUAGAGGACAUAUGAAGCAGUUAAGAGGGCACCCACUUGUGGGGAGAGCAGUUCAAAACAACGGUCCCACGGCAUAGUGGGGUUUAU
rnacentral:other from 1 species